rnacentral:lncRNA from 1 species
UCUUGACAACAGAGAGCUUUGAAAAAUGGCAGUUCUUCCCCCAGUCCUCCUGUCCCUGCCUCUUCUCAGUUGUUUAAAUUUUAAUAUAAUUAAACCCUGUAUUAAUUUUGUUUGGGGUAUUCAUACGUCUGCAUACAUAACAAGGAUGAAAAAACAGGCAGUCCCCCAUCUGUGUUACUGAAUGAGAUGCUUGCACUGAAUGCUGGAAAGUUGUGAGUACCAGCCUGUAAUGGAAGUAGCCUGAUUCCCCCUUAUCAUUUUAUUGUGUACCAGAAAGAAUAACUUCCAGGGAAGAAUUCCAGGUCAAUUUCUGUGGACAAUUAAAUAUUCUCCAAAAUUCUUGUUACAUAUGAAGCAGAGUAUUUAGAAAGCUGAUAGGAGAAAAACACGUUCAGUGUGGCUUUGUCUGUGAAGCAAGGAGGAAAAAGACACAGUGUUGAAUAACUCCAAAGCUGAGGCAAUAGUCAUUUUAGAUACUGUGUUGUGCCUCCUCAUCACCUGUCUUCUGGGAUCCCAGAAAACAUAAUUAAGAAGAGAUCCUCAUCAGUUCACUCCCUUUGUUGGCACUGACCCUCCCUCAUAAGCUGCCUUUGUUGGCUUUGUCUUCUGCUUUUUGUGUCCUAGGUGUGUGGGAGAAAGGAGGCCCUUGCCCUGUGAGCCACUUCUGUCCCGAAGGAAGCAGCUUUCCCUUAGCGUGCCUUGCAGGGACUUACAACAACCUCACCAGACAAGCUGCGUGCUUUCCUUGUGCUGCAGGCUACUACUGCCCAGAAAAUACUACCAGCUACAGUGUGAAUCCAUGCCCAGCUGGCUUCUACUGCCCCAGAGGAACCAGGUUUGCUACUGAGUUUCCCUGUCCUCGGGGCUACUUUAACCCAGACCCCAUGGCACAGAGCUUGGAUAGCUGCUUGCCCUGUCCUCCUGGGCAUUACUGUGGGAAGGAGAACUUGACAGCUGCAUCAGGCAAGUGUGAUGCAGGAUGGUUUUGCAUCUCAGCUGCUUGGACGCCACGGCCUUUCGACCUGGAUAACUACACCAACGCCAACUGCCUCUGUCCCGCCACUGCCACUGGAGGGAAGUGCAUAGCUGGCUUCUACUGUCCCACAGGAAGCCCAGAGCCUCUUCCCUGCCCUCCAGGGUUUUACU